rnacentral:lncRNA from 1 species
CCUCUCUCUCCUCCGGCCCGUGGAGUAGAAGAACUCAAGAGAUGGAUGGGAUCUCAUCAGUGGAGUUGGAGGUCCUGCGGUGAGAAAUGGAGCUCCUCUCGCUGCAGUCUCCAUCGGCCUCCCGCCUGCCGCUCUGCUUCGCGAAGAGCUCGCAUCGUCCGUCGGAGAGAACCAGCUUUCUCUCCGGCCAGCCCCUCAGCUUCCAGAGCGCCGGCAGUAGCACCAGGUGUCCGAAUGCCAGGAGAAGGCUCAGAUUCAUCGGCGUCACGCCUCGAACAGCGGGUAUUGUCGCACGCUCUCAGUUGUGGAACGGGAUUUUUUCGCGUAGGGAUGCGUUUAGUUUCCGAGUCUUUCGAGAUCGUUCUUGCUGGGCACAUUGUUUGUGGCUCUUAAUUAUUUGAUUGCUAUUCUAAUCGUCACUCAUGCUUAAAUUCUCAAAAUAAAAAAAAUCAUCCUAAAGCAGUAUAAAAAUCCUAUUAAGAAACUGGAUCCCCAAUCAAAAGUCCUUUAACCUUGUUUUUUUUUUUUUUUUUGGUAGCAUGUGUUUCAGUUUACGGGAUACUAUCUUCUCCGUUUCUUCAAUGUACAUUGCGAUCAUUUAUUAACUGUAAGCAUAUUUCAUCGUGUAUAGUCAAUAAAAUAAUGACGAGCAUAACAAGGUAAUGCCCAACGCCAACAUCAACUUUUGUCGCGAUCAUAGAAAUUGCUACGAUCAUUCAAUCAACUUUUCCUUUGAACAGUUGUAUUGGUUUUAUUGUUAUUUUUCUGCUUCGUGGGUUCUUUUUAUUAGGUACGAGAUUAAUUCGGCGUUAUUUAAGACGCCUUGGCGUAAAACCGGCUUCAUACGCCGUUGAUUGAUUGAUGAGACCUAUCCUGGAAGUUCUCGUCACAACUUCUUUGUUCCUGUUUGAAACUCUGAAAUAUUUGAACGUCACCUGACGGAUUUCUUGUGAAAUGGUUGGCUCCAUGGAAUUCUGAAGAGUCAAUCGAUCUCAAUGAUGCCACAGCCCUCACGAUUUGUAAUUCUGGACAUUUUUUUAUCAUACGAUCCUCAAAGGCACCCCGGACUUCUUUCUUGCUCCAACAAUGACCAGGUUAUCUGAACCAGAAACUUAUCAAUUAAUUUUUCUUGUAUUUUACCGAUAUUCUAAAAUUCCUGUAAAAAUAAUCACCACAACUAAAUUUGAAGUUCAGAAAGAUAUAGCACGGAGUUUCUAAGUACCUGGAUGCGUUUCUAAGUGCCUAUUUUCAGAUGCCGUGAGCCUUGUGCCGGGAUUCAGAUUACAAUGGGCAGGACGAUUGAUCCGGGUUGACUGGCAUGUAUUGGGGGA